rnacentral:lncRNA from 1 species
GGCAAUGUUCUCAGGAUCUUUGCUACGAUCUUCUUUUCUUUGACCACUUUAUCACAUGCCCGCAUCGCAUUCACGACCACCUGGAUUCUUCCAAUAUAUGCUUCUAUGGUUUCUUGUUCUCCCAUACUUAGAAGCUCGUACUGUCUCUGUAAAGAUUGAAGUCUCACUUUCUUUAUCUUUCCUGAGUUGCCAUACCCGUCUUGUAAUAUAUCCCAGGCCUCCUUAGCCGUCGUUGCUUUUGAGAUUUUCUGGAAAAUAGUUGCAGAAACACACUGAUGAAGAAUCACGCGNGCUUUGCAGUCAAGCUUUUUAUUGUCUCUGUAGACCUUCUUUGUUUCUUCUGAGUC